AUGUGCCAAGGAAGGCCUGCAGGGAGGCUGGAGGCAGUGCUAGCUCCAGGCGCUGCUGGGGAGUGCCUGUGCUGUCCCUGUUCCCAAGUUGAGGUGCUGGUGAGCCCUGAAUGUGGCUCCUCCAGUUCAUCCGGGACUCUCUUCCCACAUCGGUUGCUAAUGAAGGAGAGUGUUGUGUUUCAAGGAAGCUCCCCGGCCAUGGCUGUUGUGCAUGUUGAGGAGAUGCAUCACUGAAGGAUUAAAAUACAACUGCUGUGAGAUGGGAAGCAAAGCAGGCCAGGACUAGAAACUGCUAUGGAAGGAGAGUUAAGACAUUAAUGGAUGCUGUACAUGCAAUGGGACUGGUUAGAAUGCACAGCCUCUGUACUGAGUUUGAAUAACUGAGGCUGAGUGGCUGUUUCUUUCAGUAUGUUAAUAAUACCCCAGUUUCUCCAUAAAGUCAAGAAAUAUAACUGCAGUUGCCUAGCACUGGUGUGGAUGACUGUCCUCUCUAAGAGCUGCAGUGCUGGCACUGAGCUGAUAUUGUAAGGACUCUGUAAGAGAAAAUGGCUUUAAUCACUGUGUAUUUAGUUGGGGUAGCUGGGCUCAGCUGGGAGUUAAAUCGUUUGUUUAGGGCAACCUCCUCCUUCCAGCAGCUGAGUGCAAGCUAUCCCCAGGCAGCUGCGUUGCUCUUUCAAGGCAAGAGGUCCAGCCCGUGAAGUUGUGUGUGA
rnacentral:lncRNA from 1 species